rfam:Trichomonas vaginalis G3, whole genome shotgun sequence.
UUAUCGGAACGGUAUGUCGCGCAGCUACGCCGUCUGGGAUAAUGGCUGAAAGCCUCUUAAGCCAGAAGCCCAUCUAGAAAGUGAUGCACGUGAUGUUGGACCGAUACGAAUAAUCAUACUCAAAAGGUCCGCUUCAUAGGUAACCCAAUGUAGAAGACAUUGUGUGAACGAAGGUACUGUAAGCAGUGGAGUGGCAUUACGUCCACGACCUGUUGAGGUUCAGCUUCGCUUCUAGGUUUCC